AUGGAAUUGGGAGCUUACUACAGCAUGGUAAUGAGCAAUUUGAUGCUUGUGCUAACUGUGUCCAUGGUGUCUGCUACUUACCUCUUGAUGAGGAAGAUGAGAGGCAAGAAGAGGCUGCCACCUGGGCCAGGCUUGGCCCUCCCGCUGGUGGGCCACCUCCACCUGCUCCGCGAGAAGCCGCUCCACGUCACGCUCGCCGGCCUCGCCGCGCGCCACGGCCCCGUCCUCUCCCUCCGCCUUGGCCGCCGCGACGCCGUCGUCGUCACCUCGCUGCGUCUGGCCAAGGAGUGCUUCUCCACCGAGCUGGACGUCAACUUCGCCAACCGCCCGCGGUUCCCCUCCGCGCGGGAGGUCUCGUUCGGCUACACGGGGCUGUCGGCCGCCAGCUACGGCCCGCACUGGCGCUCCAUGCGCCGCAUCGCCACCGUGCACCUCCUCUCCGCGCGCCGCGUCGACCUCAUGUCCGACGCCACCAUCGCCGGCGAGACCGGCGCCAUGGUGCGACGCCUUGCGCGCGCCGCAGCUGCGGCCAGCGGCGGCGUCACCAGGGUCGAGCUGAAGCGGAAUCUGUUCGAGCUCUCGCACGGCGUCCUCAUGGAGGCCAUCGCGGGAGCCAAGGGCACGCGUGAUGGCUCCGACGCUGACAUGUCUAAAGAGGCGCACGAGUUCAAGAAAGUGGUGGACGAGAUCGUGCCGCUGCUUGGCAUGGCGAACCUGCACGACCACCUGCCAGGACCCCUGCGAUGGCUCGACUUCGGCGGCGUGCGCCGGAGACUCACUGAGCUGGUGAACCGGAGGAACGCGCUGAUGCACGGUCUGAUCGAUGCAGAGAGGCAACGGCGGCCGCAGGAGGACCACGCCACCGACGAGCUGCUGCCGGAGUCGAAGAGCAUGAUAGGCGUGAUGCUCUCGCUGCAGGAGUCCGAUCCGCAGCAGUACACGGACACUUUCAUCGCCGCUCUAGUCACCAACCUCUUCGGCGGCGGCACGGUGACCACGUCGGCGACCAUGGAAUGGGCCAUGUCGCUCCUGCUCAACCACCCGGACGCGCUGCAGAAGGCGCGAGAGGAGGUGAGCGCCCGCGUCGGCCACGCCCGCCUCCUCAGCAGGGAGGACCUCCCCCACCUCCCUUACCUCCAGUGCAUCAUCAUCGAGACCCUGCGGCUCUACCCCGCCGCGCCGCUGCUAGCGCCGCACGAGUCGUCCGCCGACUGCAGCCUCCAUGGGUACCACGUCCCGGCGGGCACCAUGCUUCUCGCCAACGCCUACGCCAUCCACCGGGACCCAUCCGUCUGGGACGACCCAGAGGAGUUCAGGCCGGAGAGGUUCGACGUCAAUGGCGCCGACGGGCAGGGCCAGCAGGGGAUGAUGAUGCUGCCGUUCGGGAUGGGGCGGCGGCGGUGCCCCGGGGAGAGCCUUGCGCUGAGAACCAUGGGGCUGGUGCUGGGGACCUUGAUCCAGUGCUUCGACUGGAGCAGGGUGGCCGGCGCCGAGGUUGACAUGACGCAGGCCUCUGCCAAGAUCCUGUAUAAAGCUGUUCCUUUGGUAGCUCUCUGCAAACCGCACGACAACAUGCAGACUAUGCUUCACAAGAUCUAG
rnacentral:rRNA from 1 species